UGAAGGGCCAGGAAAGGAGCCUCGCCCCAGACAGAGCCAGCUGGGAAACAAAGCCGGUGUGUCCAGAUGGGACUCUCACAUGACUCCAGGUGGAGCCAAGAAUCCCACUCAGGGGCUUUUCUCCUGAUGGAGCCCCCAGUGACCAGCGAGCCAGCCCCUCAGCUGCCCAUGUGGAAGAGGUGUUGGGAAGGGUCUGUUUGCCCCAGCUGCUGCCUUGUAGCAGAGCCACGUAGUGCUAUGGCAGACCCUGGCCUGGGGUGGGAAAAGAGAACUGGACGCAGGAUCCAAGGCUGCAACUAGUGCAGUUGCUGCUCCUGUCUAGUGUGAGCUGUCAAUGGCUGCUGAUCCCUUUGAGGCCAUCCUGGGCUCCCAGGGAAGGGCAGGGACCUUUUUGGGGUGGCCAUGUUUAAGAGUUUGCUAGCCAUCUGCACAUGUGACUCGCAAGGAAGUUUGGGUCCCUUUAUUCAAACCACAGACACUCCAAGAAUUUUAAUUUUUUUUAAUUUUGUAAUUUGGGGAAAUAAAACUCUGGUUUCUGAAAGGGCUAA